rnacentral:antisense_RNA from 1 species
GGUAGCCGAAGAUUGUCAGCGGGUUGAGGGUAGGGUCGGUCACGAGGCGCACGCCAGCCACGUUCGGAUCGUACAACCCGCCGACAAACGUUGCUUUGACAACCAACAGCAGCGCCCCGAGUCCUAGCAACACGAGGUGAAUGCCGAGAAUGCUGGUCAUCUUGUCGCCGUCGGUCCA